UACGUAGGUGACCAGCGUUGUCCGGAUUUACUGGGCGUAAAGAGCGCGCAGGCGGUCGUUCAAGUCGAGUGUGAAAGCCCCUGGCCCAACUGGGGAGGGUCAUUCGAUACUGAUCGACUUGAAGGCAGGAGAGGGUAGUGGAAUUCCCGGUGUAGUGGUGAAAUGCGUAGAUAUCGGGAGGAACACCAGUGGCGAAGGCGACUACCUGGCCUGUUCUUGACGCUGAGGCGCGAAAGCUAGGGGAGCAAACGGG
rnacentral:rRNA from 1 species